rnacentral:rRNA from 1 species
UGGGGAAUAUUGCACAAUGGGCGCAAGCCUGAUGCAGCCAUGCCGCGUGUAUGAAGAAGGCCUUCGGGUUGUAAAGUACUUUCAGCGGGGAGGAAGGGAGUAAAGUUAAUACCUUUGCUCAUUGACGUUACCCGCAGAAGAAGCACCGGCUAACUCCGUGCCAGCAGCCGCGGUAAUACGGAGGGUGCAAGCGUUAAUCGGAAUUACUGGGCGUAAAGCGCACGCAGGCGGUUGGUUAAGUCAGAUGUGAAAUCCCCGGGCUCAACCUGGGAACGGCAUCUGAUACUGGCAAGCUGGAGUCUCGUAGAGGGGGGUAGAAUUCCAUGUGUAGCGGUGAAAUGCGUAGAGAUGUGGAGGAAUACCGGUGGCGAAGGCGGCCCCCUGGACAAAGACGGACGCUCAGGUGCGAAAGCGUGGGGAGCAAACAGG